rnacentral:rRNA from 1 species
AUUGAACGCUGGCGGCAGGCCUAACACAUGCAAGUCGAGCGGAGCGGCUGACGGGCGAGUAAUGCCUAGGAAUCUGCCUGGUCUUGGGGGAUAACGUACGGAAAGGGGCGCUAAUACCGCAUACUAUCAGAUGAGCCUAGGUCGGAAUAGCUAGUUGGUGGGGUAAAGGCAUACCAAGGCGGCGAUCCGUAACUGGUCUGAGAGGAUGAUCAGUCACCCUGUAGCUUGUACACGGUCCAUACUCCUACGGGACGCAGCAGUGGCGAACAUUGGGCAAGGGGCGAAAUCCUGAUCCAGCCGUGCGACGUGUGAUGCGAAGGUCUUCGGUUUGUAAAGCACUUUUAGUUGUGAGGCGUUACCAACAGAAUAAGCACCGGCUAACUUCGUGCCAGCAGCCGCGGUAAUAC